CCACAUAAUGAGAGUAGCGCACUGGUGAGUAACACGUGGGAACAUACCUUGAAGUGGGGGACAACAGAGGGAAACUUCUGCUAAUACCGCAUAAUCCCUGAGGGGGAAAGAUUUAUCGCUUUAAGAUUGGCCCGCGGAAGAUUAGGUAGUUGGUGGGGUAAAGGCCUACCAAGCCGACGAUCUAUAGCUGGUCUGAGAGGACGAACAGCCACAUUGGAACUGAGACACGGUCCAGACUCCUACGGGAGGCAGCAG
rnacentral:rRNA from 1 species